rnacentral:rRNA from 1 species
UCCAGACUCCUACGGGAGGCAGCAGUGGGGAAUAUUGCACAAUGGGGGGAACCCUGAUGCAGCGACGCCGCGUGGGUGAAGGAGCACCUCGGUGCGUAAAGCCCUAUCGGCAGGGAAGAAACAGACGGUACCUGACUAAGAAGCCCCGGCUAACUACGUGCCAGCAGCCGCGGUAAUACGUAGGGGGCAAGCGUUAUCCGGAUUCACUGGGUGUAAAGGGAGCGUAGACGGCGACGCAAGUCUGGAGUGAAAGCCCGGGGCCCAACCCCGGGACUGCUCUGGAAACUGCGGCGCUGGAGUACGGGAGGGGCAGGCGGAAUUCCUGGUGUAGCGGUAAAACGCGUAGAUAUAUGGAAGAACACCAGUGGCGAAGGCGGCCGCCUGGCCUGUUGCUGACGCUGAGGCACGAAAGCGUGGGGAGCAAAUAGGAUUAGAUACCCCAGUA